rnacentral:rRNA from 1 species
AUGUUGAUGAAUCUAAAAUUGAGGCAAUUAAAACUUGGCCCCAACCCAUUGCAACAAGUGCGUAACUUUCUUGGCCUUGCGGGUUUUUAUCGUCGCUUUGUGAAAGAUUUUAGCACUAUUGCCGCUCCUUUGCAUGCCUUGAGUAAGAAGAAUGCUCCUUUUGUUUGGGGAUCUUUGCAAUCUACUGCUUUUGAUGAGUUCAAGUCUUUGCUUACUCAUGCUCUGAUUCUCACUUUGCCCAACUUUGACAAAACUUUUGAGGUUCAUUGCGAUGCUAGUGGUACCGGAAUUGGCGGAGUUUUGAUGCAAGAAAAACGAGCCAUUGCAUAUUUUAGUGAAAAACUCUCCGGUGCUCAACUUAACUAUCCCAUCUAUGACAAAGAAUUGUAUGCUUUAGUGCGUGUGCUACAUGUUUGGGAACAUUAUCUUAGACCUCAUGAGUUUGUCAUACAUACCGAUCAUGAAACACUUAAGUACUUGAAAGGCCAAACUAAGUUGAACAAGCGUCAUGCAAAAUGGAUUGAAUUUAUUAAAUCUUUCCCCUAUGUGAUCAAGUACAUUAAGGGUAAGGAAAAUGUAGUUGUGGAUGCACUUUCAUGCAUAUGCAUGCUUGUCACUAAACUUGAGUGGAAUGUUAUUGGCUUUGAGCACAUAAAAGACUUGUAUGCGAAUGAUCCUUCCUUUGCUAAUCCUUAUGCUAAGUGUUUGACACAUACAUCUUGGGAAUGA